UACGAGGUUAGAUUGUUUCCAGUAGCCA
rnacentral:piRNA from 1 species